AAUAAAAAUAAACAAUGAUUAUGAUACGCAUCACAUUUACGGGUAUCAGGAAUUGGGCUUGUCAAUUUGUGUUUUGUGAAAAAUCCCACAGUCAAACUUUUAAAACAGGAAGCAAUAACAAAAGGAGAAAUGGUGCUUAAGGAAGCUCUUAUUAAUGGAUCCAGCAGAGCAGAACUUCCCAAGCUUAUUUGUCCACAAGACGCACCCUCUUCUGAAUCUUCAACAGAAUUUAAACCAGUGAUAUCUCCCCAGCAUAUAUUUUGUAUUUACGUGUGUACCUUGUGCACUAACAAAUAGAAAACAAUCUUAAAAUCAAAAUAAAACACUUUUGAUGCUGCUCACGA